rnacentral:tRNA from 1 species
UGGCUCGGUAGCUCAGUUGGUAGAGCAAAGGAUUGAAGCUCCUUGUGUCGGCGGUUCGAUUCCGUCCCGCGCCAUGUU